rnacentral:rRNA from 1 species
UGGGGAAUUUUGGACGAAUUGGGCGAAAGCCUGAAUCCAGCAAUGCCGCGUGUGUGAAGAAGGCCUUCGGGUUGUAAAGCACUUUUGUCCGGAAAGAAAUCCUUGGCUCUAAUACAGUCGGGGGAUGACGGUACCGGAAGAAUAAGCACCGGCUAACUACGUGCCAGCAGCCGCGGUAAUACGUAGGGUGCAAGCGUUAAUCGGAAUUACUGGGCGUAAAGCGUGCGCAGGCGGUUUGCUAAGACCGAUGUGAAAUCCCCGGGCGUCAACCUGGGAACUGCAUUGGUGACUGGCAGGCUAGAGUAUGGCAGAGGGGGGUAGAAUUCCACGUGUAGCAGUGAAAUGCGUAGAGAUGUGGAGGAAUACCGAUGGCGAAGGCAGCCCCCUGGCAAGUACUGACGCUCAUGCACG